AUAUGGCAUGCAGAUUACGGCGAUACAUUGCCACAGCGGCGUGAAACAUUGCAACAUCUCCGAAACGCGGCAAGCUACUGCUCGAGCUAGCAUCCCAUA
rnacentral:ribozyme from 14 species